rnacentral:rRNA from 1 species
UGUGGCGCACAGCUCAGUAACACGUGGCUAACCUGCCCUCGAGACGGUGACAACCCCGGGAAACUGGGGCUAAUCUCCGAUAGGCGAAGAGCUCUGGAAUGAGCCUUUACCCAAACGGCAAUCAGGCUAUGCUUCUGAUUGUCGCUCGAGGAUGGGGCCGCGACCGAUCAGGUUGUUGGUGAGGUAACGGCUCACCAAGCCUAUAACCGGUGCGGGCCGUGGGAGCGGGAGCCCGGAGAUGGGCACUGAGACAAGGGCCCAGGCCCUACGGGGCGCAGCAGUCGCGCAAACUUUGCAAUACACGAAAGUGUGACAGGGCUAUCCCGAGUGCCGUCCGCUGAGGAUGGCUUUUACCCAGUCUAGAACGCUGGGGGAAUAAGGAGAGGGCAAGUCUGGUGUCAGCCGCCGCGGUAAUACCAGCUCUCCGAGUGGUGUGGAUGUUUAUUGGGCCUAAAGCAUCCGUAGCUGGCCAAGCUAGUCCCUUGUUAAACCCACCGAACCAAUCGUUGGAUCGCGGGGGAUACUGCUCGGCUAGGGGACGAGAGAGGCAGACGGUAUUUUCGGGGUAGGGGUGAAAUCCUAUAAUCCCGGGAAGACCACCAGUGGCGAAGGCUGUCUGCUAGAACGCGCCCGACGGUGAGGGAUGAAAGCUGGGGGAGCGAACCGGAUUAGAUACCCGGGUAGUCCCAGCUGUAAACGAUGCAGGCUAGGUGUUUGGGCGGCCACGUGCCGCUCUAGUGCCGCAGGGAAGCUGUUAAGCCUGCCGCCUGGGGAGUACGGUCGCAAGAUUGAACUUAAAGGCCA